rnacentral:misc_RNA from 1 species
UUCAAUACUAGUAUAAUAGUAAGAAGUAAAAUGGCAGAAGUAACUUGGAAAUCACAUGAACUCAUAAUCCCACAACUAGUAAUGUAUUUUCAGUACAGGAUUUCUUCAUAAUUAGAAAGUUGACAAGCAAUCCUUGAACAGAUUAAAAUAACAACUUUUCAUAUUAAAUGCAUAUGCAGUCAAUUACUUCUAAAGUUACAAAACCAGAUUCCUCAGAAAAUGAGAUGCUUCAGUAUCUUCAACCACUUGAAUUCUGAUUACAGGACAAUUUAACACCAACCCACAAGAAAGAAGAAACCUUGUUCUAACUCCUUUUAUGGAAAACAGGAAUUCAAUCAACAGUUUAUCAGUGGAAUUAAUUUUUUACACAUCUCCCACUGCCCCAUAAAGAGUUGGGAUUCCUUAUCAUUUAUACAUAAAAAAUAAAUAAAUUAUUAUUACAGGUACAUAAAUUUAAAAAAUACAUAUAAUCGUUAAAUUAUAUAAUAUAAAAAAGAUAAAAUAAAAUAAAAUUAAAAAAUUAAAAAUUAAUUUUUUUUUUCAACAAUUAAUUUUCACUUGCAACAAAAGGAAUAUCUAAAAGUCAGUCAAAACUCAAAAAGUAAAGUACUAUAAAAUUAAUAAAAAAAACAUUUUGAGAAAAAGUUAAAAAUUGCAAGUGAAAAAAAAGGAAUAAUUUAAAAAUGAAUAUUAAUAUAGUUCAUUAUUUUUUAUAGCAUAUAUUGGAGUAAAAUGAGAGUUUUUUUAAGAAGCUUUGGUCAUAUACAAUGUAGAGAAUCGAAUGUCCCACUACGGAAGUGUUAUAGGUUGGUAGAGGAAGGGGAGGCCAAAGAUGAUGUAGAGGAAACAAUUAUUAAAGGAUUUAUAAGUUUUGGAUAUUGAU